rnacentral:rRNA from 1 species
GAAGGACGCGGUAAGCUGCGAUAAGCUACGGAGAGGUGCAAGCAACCUGUGACCCGUAGAUUUCCGAAUGGGGGAACCCGGCAGUGGUUAUGCACUGUCACCCAUAGCUUAGACUAUGAGGAGGGCACCCGGGGAACUGAAACAUCUAAUUACCCGGAGGAAAAGUAAUCAAACGAGAUUUUCUUAGUAGCGGCGAGCGAACGGGAAAGAGGCCAAACCGGAGCGGGCAACCGCACCGGGGUUGAGGACAGUCAUCAAGUGUAAAUGAGGUAGAAGAAUCGAGUUGGAAAGCUCAGCCGCAGAAGGUGAAAGCCCUGUAAUCGAAACCUUGCAUACAUGGGACUGUAUCCAGAGUACCACGAGACACGUGAAACCUUGUGGGAAGCAGGGGGGACCACCCUCCAAGCCAAAAUACUGAUAUCGACCGAUAGCGCAUAGUACCGUGAGGGAAAGGUGAAAAGAACCCCUGGCGGGGAGUGAAAGAGAACCUGAAACCGUAUGUCUACAAACAGUCGAAGUCUGUAUAUAUAUCAGGACGACGGCGUGCCUAUUGAAGAAUGAACCGACGAGUUACUGUUGCUAGCGAGGUUAAGUGGAAAACACGGAGCCGCAGCGAAAGCGAGUCUGAACAGGGCGUUCAGUUAGUAAUAGUAGACCCGAAACCGUAGUGAUCUAUCCAUGGCCAGGUUGAAGCACAGGUAAAAUUGUGUGGAGGACCGAACUCGUGAGCGUUGAAAAGCUUUGGGAUGAGUUGUGGAUAGGGGUGAAAUGCCAAUCGAACACGGAGAUAGCUGGUUCUCCCCGAAAUAGCUUUAGGGCUAGCCUCGAGGUUGAGAGUAUAGGCGGUAGAGCACUGAUCGGGCUAGGGGCCAUACCGGUUACCGAACCUAGUCAAACUACGAAUGGCUAUACUUAUACUCGGGAGUCAGACAGUGAAUGAUAAGGUCCAUUGUCAAGAGGGAAACAGCCCAGAACACCGACUAAGGUCCCAAAUGUUACACUAAGUGGCGAAGGAUGUGGAAUUUCCAAAACAACCAGGAUGUUGGCUUAGAAGCAGCCACCAUUUAAAGAGUGCGUAAUAGCUCACUGGUCGAGAGACUCUGCGCCGAAAAUGUCCGGGGCUAAAGUGUAAAACCGAAGUCGUGUCAUAUGCAGCAAUGUAUAUGGGUAGGGGAGCGUUCUCAUCGGGCUGAAGCAGUACCGUAAGGAGUUGUGGACUGAUGAGAAGUGAGAAUGUCGGUAUGAGUAGCGAAAAGAAUGGUGAGAAUCCAUUCCACCGAAAGCCUAAGGGUUCCUGAGCAACGAUCGUCGUCUCAGGGUAAGUCGGGACCUAAGCCGAGGCGGAAUAGCGUAGGCGAUGGACAACAGGUUGAAAUUCCUGUACCGGUGUGAAUCGUUUGAUCGAUGGAGUGACACAGUAAGGUAGGUCAGCACGCGAUUGGAAGUGCGUGUUUAAGCAUGUAGGUUGAGCUAUAGGCAAAUCCGUAGCUCUAAAAGCUGAGAUGUGAUGACGAGUUACUAGCGAUAGUAACGAAGUGAUUGAUCCUACACUGUCGAGAAAAGCUUCUAGGUAGAGACACAUCGCCCGUACCAAAACCGACACAGGUAGGCGGGGAGAGAAUCCUAAGGUGCGCGGGAAAACCCUCGUUAAGGAACUCGGCAAAAUGCCUCCGUAACUUCGGGAAAAGGAGGACUCAUGUAGUGUGAAGGGCAGUAACGCGUGGAGCAUGAAUGAGUGGCACAAGAGAGGCGCAAGCGACUGUUUACCACAAACACAGGUGCCUGCUAAAGCGAAAGCUGAUGUAUAGGUGCUGACACCUGCCCGGUGCUGGAAGGUUAAGAGGAGGGGUUAGACUUCGGUCGAAGCUCUGAAUUGAAGCCCCAGUAAACGGCGGCCGUAACUAUAACGGUCCUAAGGUAGCGAAAUUCCUUGUCGGGUAAGUUCCGACCCGCACGAAAGGCGUAAUGAUUUGGGCACUGUCUCAACGAGGGACCCGGUGAAAUUGAAAUACCUGUGAAGAUGCAGGUUACCCGCGACUGGACAGAAAGACCCCAUGGAGCUUUACUGCAACCUGAGAUUGACUUUAGUUAAUGGAUGUACAGGAUAGGUGGGAGACUGCGAAUCUAGGGCGCCAGUCUUAGAGGAGUCAUUGUUGGGAUACCACCCUUUCAUUAAUUGAAUUCUAACGGGCCGACUAACAACCGGCCGGACAGUCUCAGGCGGGCAGUUUGACUGGGGCGGUCGCCUCCGAAAAUGUAACGGAGGCGCCCAAAGGUUCCCUCAGAGCGGACGGAAAUCGCUCGAAGAGU